GUAGGUGGCAAGCGUUGUCCGGAAUUAUUGGGCGUAAAGCGCGCGCAGGUGGUUCUUUAAGUCUGAUGUGAAAGCCCCCCGGCUCAACCGGGGAGGGUCAUUGGAAACUGGGGAACUUGAGUGCAGGAGAGGAAAGUGGAAUUCCACGUGUAGCGGUGAAAUGCGUAGAUAUGUGGAGGAACACCAGUGGCGAAGGCGACUUUCUGGCCUGUAACUGACACUGAGGCGCGAAAGCGUGGGGAGCAAACAGGAUUAGAUACCCUGGUAGUCCACGCCGUAAACGAUGAGUGCUAAGUGUUGGGGGGGUUUUACCCGCCCCCCCGUCAGUGCUGCAGCUAACGCAUUAAGCACUCCGCCUGGGGAGUACGGUCGCAAGACUG
rnacentral:rRNA from 1 species